CCUACGGGAGGCAGCAGUGAGGAAUAUUGGUCAAUGGGCGCAAGCCUGAACCAGCCAAGCAGCGUGAAGGAGGAAUGCCCUACGGGUUGUAAACCUCUUUUACAAGGGAAUAAAGUGAGGGACGCGUGCCGUUUUGGAUGUACUUGAUGAAUAAGGAUCGGCUAACUCCGUGCCAGCAGCCGCGGGAAUACGGAGGAUCCGAGCGUUAUCCGGAUUUAUUGGGUUUAAAGGGAGCGUAGGUGGGUCGUUAAGUCAGUUGUGAAAGUUUGCGGCUCAAACCGAGAAUUGCCAUCGAAACUGGCAGUCUUGAGUACAGUUGAGGCAGGCGGAAUGCGUGGUGUAGCGGUGAAAUGCUUAGAUAUCGCGAAGAACCCCGAUUGCGAAGGCAGCUUAC
rnacentral:rRNA from 1 species